GACGAACGCUGGCGGCGUGCUUAACACAUGCAAGUCGAACGGUGAACCACCUUCGGGUGGGAGUCAGUGGCGAACGGGUGAGUAACACGUGGGCAACCUGCCCCUAGCUCUGGGAGUAACCCCGGAAACCGGGGCGUAAUACCGGAUAUGACUCCGAGCGGCAUCGCUUGGAGUGGAAAGUUUUCGGCUAGGGAUGGGCCCGCGGCCUAUCAGCUUGUUGGUGGGGUAACGGCCUACCAAGGCGACGACGGGAGCCGGCCUGAGAGGGCGACCGGCCACACUGGGACUGAGACACGGCCCAGACUCCUACGGGAGGCAGCAGUGGGGAAUAUUGCGCAAUGGGCGAAAGCCUGACGCAGCGACGCCGCGUGAGGGACGAAGGCCUUCGGUCGUAACCUCUU
rnacentral:rRNA from 1 species